UAUUAUAGUGUGGAAAUUGGUGAUUUACAAUAACUUAGCAAAUCGUAAAGUGAAAACAGACGAUGAAUCAUUCAAGUUUCUGACCUAUCAGCUUUCGACGGUAUGAUAUUGGCCUACCGUGGCUUUGACGGUUAACGGGGAAUUAGGGUUCGAUUCCGGAGAGGGAGCAUGAGAAACGGCUACCACAUCUAAGGAAGGCAGCAGGCGCGCAAAUUACCCAAUCCUAACAGAACAAGGGAGGUAGUGACAAGAAGUAACAAUACAAGGCUGUUAAAACGUUUUGUAAUUGGAAUGAUAGAAAUUUAAACACUUUCUAAAGUAUCAAUUGGAGGGCAAGUCUGGUGCCAGCAGCCGCGGUAAUUCCAGCUCCAAUAGCGUAUAUUAAAGUUGUUGCAGUUAAAAAGCUCGUAGUUGGAUUUCUGCUAAAAUUAACCAGGCUGCUUUUAAUAAAAGUGGUAUUUGGUAUGUUUUUAGCAUUAAUGUCCUAAAAAAUGUUUUUUGCUUUAUUGCAAAAAGCAAUAUUUAGGGUUUUUACUUUGAGAAAAUUAGAGUGUUUCAAGCAGACUUACGUUUUGAAUACUGCAGCAUGGAAUAAUAAGAUAGGAUUUUGGUUCUACAUUAUUGGUUUUAAGAGCUAAAUUAAUGAUUAAUAGGGACAGUUGGGGGCAUUUGUAUUUAACUGUUAGAGGUGAAAUUCUUAGAUUUUUUAAAGACAAACUAAUGCGAAAGCAUUUGCCAAAGAUG
rnacentral:rRNA from 1 species